CAUAUUAAGGAUUCCGAAAGUGAAUCCGAUAUAUAAUUUACCAAGUUAAAUGGAGUCCGAAAAUACUACACAUAACAUCUAUACAACUCCAUAUGCAAGGAAUAGAGUUAAUGGAUUAACUACACUCAACAUUAGAGUUGUAUCAUCAUGCAUGAGAAUGACAUGGAUAGGUGCAGCACAUGCUUUAACAAGAAUAACACAAAGAUCCGACU
rnacentral:lncRNA from 1 species